rnacentral:lncRNA from 1 species
ACAGAUAUUUCUGUGGUCACAGUUCAUGUGUAUAUUGCUACCUGGACCUUCUUCACUCAGCAUUGCCUGAGCUCCCCCUUUCCCAGUAAGGUGAUAGUGUGCACUGGACCAGUUGCUGCUCCUUGGUUCUGCCUCCUUUCCAAGGCAGGCUUUUAUGAAUGGCCCACCUGCCCCCACGGAACAGCUUGUCCAAUGUACUGGCAUCGUCCCUGGUCACUCUCCAUCGGUGCAGCACAUCUGGCGGGGACCACAGGGGACACUGGAACCUGAGAGGGGCUUGGAUCUGUGCUUCAGUUAUGUCAUGUCUGAGUGGUGCUUGUUUGUGUAUUUUCAGAAAACCCAGAGUAAAAAAGGUUUUCCCCCAUAAAUUAAUAGUGACCUCAAAGCUCCCGUGGUGGAAAAACUGCCAUGUGAUGCAAUGCCAGUAAAAUAAAAGCAACUGCAACUUCA